rnacentral:rRNA from 1 species
GAUGAACGCUGGCGGCGUGCCUAAUACAUGCAAGUCGAGCGAAAAGACGAGGAGCUUGAUCUUCUGACGUUAGCGGCGGACGGGAGAGAAACACGUGGAUAACUUACCUAUAAGACUGGGAUAAAUUCGGGAACGCGGAGAUAAUACAGGCUAAUAUAUUGAAACGGAUGGUUACAUAGUGAAAGACGGUUUUGCUGUUAGUUAUAGAUGGAUCAGCGCCGCAUUAGCUAGUUGGUAAGGUAACGGCUUACCAAGGCAACGAUGCGUAGCCGACCUGAGAGGGUGAUCGGCCACACUGGAACUGAGACACGGUCCAGACUCCUACGGGAGGCAGCAGUAGGGAAUCUUCCGCAAUGGGCGAAAGCCUGACGGAGCAACGCCGCGUGAGUGAUGAAGGUCUUCGGAUCGUAAAACUCUGUUAUUAGGGAAGAACAAAUGUGUAAGUAACUAUGCACGUCUUGACGGUACCUAAUCAGAAAGCCACGGCUAACUACGUG